AAAUACAACAGAACCUUCGGGUGACGUUGUGUGGAUCGAGCGGCGAACGGGUGAGUAACACGUGGGCAACCUGCCUACAAGACUGGGAUAACUCCGGGAAACCGGGGCUAAUACCGGAUAAUCCAUCGAACCGCAUGGUUCGGUGUUGAAAGAUGGCUUUUAGCUAUCACUUGUAGAUGGGCCCGCGGCGCAUUAGCUAGUUGGUAGGGUAAUGGCCUACCAAGGCAACGAUGCGUAGCCGACCUGAGAGGGUGAUCGGCCACACUGGGACUGAGACACGGCCCAGACUCCUACGGGAGGCAGCAGUAGGGAAUCUUCCGCAAUGGACGAAAGUCUGACGGAGCAACGCCGCGUGAACGAUGAAGGUUUUCGGAUCGUAAAGUUCUGUUGUUAGGGAAGAACAAGUACCGUUCGAAUAGGGCGGUAUCUUGACGGUACCUAACGAGAAAGCCCCGGCUAACUACGUGCCAGCAGCCGCGGUAAU
rnacentral:rRNA from 1 species